GGCGGGGUAGCCAAGUGGUAAGGCAGGGGUCUGCAAAACCCUUAUUCGUCGGUUCGAUUCCGACCCUCGCCUCCA
rnacentral:tRNA from 3 species